rnacentral:rRNA from 1 species
GAUGAACGCUGGCGGCGUGCCUAAUACAUGCAAGUCGAGCGCUGCGGGGACGGGUGAGUAACACGUGGGUAACCUCCUAUAAGACUGGGAUAACUUCGGGAAACCGGAGCUAAACCGGAUACUUACAGAUGGCUGCCCGCUGGAGUAGCUAGUUAGUAAGGUAACGGCUUACCAGGGCAACGAUGCAUACCCGACCUGGUAGGGUGCUCGGCCACCCUUGGACGGAGACACGGUCCAGAGUCCUGCGGGAGGCAGCAGUAGGGCAUCUUCCGCAAGGGGCGAAAGCCUGACGGAGCAUAGCCGCGUGAGUAAUGAAGGUCUUCGGAUCUUAAAACUCUGUUAUUAGGGAAGCGGUACCUAAUCAGAAAGCCACGGCUAACUACAUGCCAGCAGCCGCGGUAAUAC